AAAGCCCUGCUGUGUGCGUGAACGUCCUUGCCGGUUUUCACCCAGCAUCACAUUGAGGGGAGCCCGGCUCCGGGCAUGGCGCGAGGUCUCUGGGCGGGAGUUCCCGCCGGCGGAGAGAACGUAAAAUGUUCGGGAGGGCACCCACUUGGCCCUUACGGGUAAAACUCACGGGACGCACGGCAUGGCGGGGCUUUU
rnacentral:other from 1 species